GCCGGAUAGCUCAGCCAGGAGAGCACCAGACUUUUAAUCUGAGACUCCAGGGUUCAAAUCCUGGUAUGGGCA